rnacentral:rRNA from 1 species
UUAAGCGACUAAGCGUACACGGUGGAUGCCCUGGCAGUCAGAGGCGAUGAAGGACGUGCUAAUCUGCGAUAAGCGUCGGUAAGGUGAUAUGAACCGUUAUAACCGGCGAUUUCCGAAUGGGGAAACCCAGUGUGUUUCGACACACUAUCAUUAACUGAAUCCAUAGGUUAAUGAGGCGAACCGGGGGAACUGAAACAUCUAAGUACCCCGAGGAAAAGAAAGUCAACCGAGAUUCCCCCAGUAGCGGCGAGCGAACGGGGAGGAGCCCAGAGCCUGAAUCAGUGUGUGUGUUAGUGGAAGCGUCUGGAAAGGCGCGCGAUACAGGGUGACAGCCCCGUACACAAAAAUGCACAUGCUGUGAGCUCGAUGAGUAGGGCGGGACACGUGGUAUCCUGUCUGAAUAUGGGGGGACCAUCCUCCAAGGCUAAAUACUCCUGACUGACCGAUAGUGAACCAGUACCGUGAGGGAAAGGCGAAAAGAACCCCGGCGAGGGGAGUGAAAAAGAACCUGAAACCGUGUACGUACAAGCAGUGGGAGCACGCUUAGGCGUGUGACUGCGUACCUUUUGUAUAAUGGGUCAGCGACUUAUAUUCUGUAGCAAGGUUAACCGAAUAGGGGAGCCGAAGGGAAACCGAGUCUUAACUGGGCGUUAAGUUGCAGGGUAUAGACCCGAAACCCGGUGAUCUAGCCAUGGGCAGGUUGAAGGUUGGGUAACACUAACUGGAGGACCGAACCGACUAAUGUUGAAAAAUUAGCGGAUGACUUGUGGCUGGGGGUGAAAGGCCAAUCAAACCGGGAGAUAGCUGGUUCUCCCCGAAAGCUAUUUAGGUAGCGCCUCGUGAAUUCAUCUCCGGGGGUAGAGCACUGUUUCGGCAAGGGGGUCAUCCCGACUUACCAACCCGAUGCAAACUGCGAAUACCGGAGAAUGUUAUCACGGGAGACACACGGCGGGUGCUAACGUCCGUCGUGAAGAGGGAAACAACCCAGACCGCCAGCUAAGGUCCCAAAGUCAUGGUUAAGUGGGAAACGAUGUGGGAAGGCCCAGACAGCCAGGAUGUUGGCUUAGAAGCAGCCAUCAUUUAAAGAAAGCGUAAUAGCUCACUGGUCGAGUCGGCCUGCGCGGAAGAUGUAACGGGGCUAAACCAUGCACCGAAGCUGCGGCAGCGACGCUUAUGCGUUGUUGGGUAGGGGAGCGUUCUGUAAGCCUGUGAAGGUGUGCUGUGAGGCAUGCUGGAGGUAUCAGAAGUGCGAAUGCUGACAUAAGUAACGAUAAAGCGGGUGAAAAGCCCGCUCGCCGGAAGACCAAGGGUUCCUGUCCAACGUUAAUCGGGGCAGGGUGAGUCGACCCCUAAGGCGAGGCCGAAAGGCGUAGUCGAUGGGAAACAGGUUAAUAUUCCUGUACUUGGUGUUACUGCGAAGGGGGGACGGAGAAGGCUAUGUUGGCCGGGCGACGGUUGUCCCGGUUUAAGCGUGUAGGCUGGUUUUCCAGGCAAAUCCGGAAAAUCAAGGCUGAGGCGUGAUGACGAGGCACUACGGUGCUGAAGCAACAAAUGCCCUGCUUCCAGGAAAAGCCUCUAAGCAUCAGGUAACAUCAAAUCGUACCCCAAACCGACACAGGUGGUCAGGUAGAGAAUACCAAGGCGCUUGAGAGAACUCGGGUGAAGGAACUAGGCAAAAUGGUGCCGUAACUUCGGGAGAAGGCACGCUGAUAUGUAGGUGAAGUCCCUCGCGGAUGGAGCUGAAAUCAGUCGAAGAUACCAGCUGGCUGCAACUGUUUAUUAAAAACACAGCACUGUGCAAACACGAAAGUGGACGUAUACGGUGUGACGCCUGCCCGGUGCCGGAAGGUUAAUUGAUGGGGUCAGCGCAAGCGAAGCUCUUGAUCGAAGCCCCGGUAAACGGCGGCCGUAACUAUAACGGUCCUAAGGUAGCGAAAUUCCUUGUCGGGUAAGUUCCGACCUGCACGAAUGGCGUAAUGAUGGCCAGGCUGUCUCCACCCGAGACUCAGUGAAAUUGAACUCGCUGUGAAGAUGCAGUGUACCCGCGGCAAGACGGAAAGACCCCGUGAACCUUUACUAUAGCUUGACACUGAACAUUGAGCCUUGAUGUGUAGGAUAGGUGGGAGGCUUAGAAGUGUGGACGCCAGUCUGCAUGGAGCCGACCUUGAAAUACCACCCUUUAAUGUUUGAUGUUCUAACGUUGACCCGUAAUCCGGGUUGCGGACAGUGUCUGGUGGGUAGUUUGACUGGGGCGGUCUCCUCCUAAAGAGUAACGGAGGAGCACGAAGGUUGGCUAAUCCUGGUCGGACAUCAGGAGGUUAGUGCAAUGGCAUAAGCCAGCUUGACUGCGAGCGUGACGGCGCGAGCAGGUGCGAAAGCAGGUCAUAGUGAUCCGGUGGUUCUGAAUGGAAGGGCCAUCGCUCAACGGAUAAAAGGUACUCCGGGGAUAACAGGCUGAUACCGCCCAAGAGUUCAUAUCGACGGCGGUGUUUGGCACCUCGAUGUCGGCUCAUCACAUCCUGGGGCUGAAGUAGGUCCCAAGGGUAUGGCUGUUCGCCAUUUAAAGUGGUACGCGAGCUGGGUUUAGAACGUCGUGAGACAGUUCGGUCCCUAUCUGCCGUGGGCGCUGGAGAACUGAGGGGGGCUGCUCCUAGUACGAGAGGACCGGAGUGGACGCAUCACUGGUGUUCGGGUUGUCAUGCCAAUGGCACUGCCCGGUAGCUAAAUGCGGAAGAGAUAAGUGCUGAAAGCAUCUAAGCACGAAACUUGCCCCGAGAUGAGUUCUCCCUGACCCUUUAAGGGUCCUGAAGGAACGUUGAAGACGACGACGUUGAUAGGCCGGGUGUGUAAGCGCAGCGAUGCGUUGAGCUAACCGGUACUAAUGAACCGUGAGGCUUAACCUU